GCCCAGAAAGCAACACUCAGCAGAAAACCCCCCACCAUCCUCCUGGGGUUGCCUGGGGCUGACUUCUGACAGAUGGAGGGACUCCUAGCUGGAGGGCAAAGAGUGUCAACGCUUCCAGUUGGUGUAUUGACAACUACUGGCUGACUCUGAGGGUGGGACUGGAUCACAUGAGAAGAGUGCUUGGCACGUACAUAAGGUAACUGAGCAGAUGAACAUGUGGGAAGAGCAACGUUCAUCUCAAAGCUGACGAUUUCAUUGCACAAACCAACCAAUAGGCCUGAUGUAAAGAAAGGCACCAGGAGACGAUGUUCCUGGGCCUGUGGCAUCCUGGCCCAUCCACAGCAGCCCCUGAGCAGAAAUCAGAGGCAUGUCAUCAGAAGUUUACUUAAGAAGCUGGGGAAGGUGCCAUACCUCUAAU